GACGAACCGUGCGAACGUUGUUCGGAAUCACUGGGCUUAAAGGGCGCGUAGGCGGGUCUCAAGUUUGGGGUGAAAUCCUCCGGCUCAACCGGAGAACUGCCUCGAAUACUGAAGGUCUCGAGGGGGAUAGGGGCAUGCGGAACUACGGGUGGAGCGGUGAAAUGCGUAGAUAUCGUAAGGAAGACCAGUGGCGGAAGGCGGAUCUCUGGACAGUUACUGACACUGAGGCACGAAGGCCAGGGGAGGCAAACGGG
rnacentral:rRNA from 1 species